UAUGGCGACCGGCGCACGGUGAGUAACACGUAUCCAACCUGCCGAUGACUCGGGGAUAGCCUUUCGAAAGAAAGAUUAAUACCCGAUGGCAUAGUUCUUCCGCAUGGUAGAACUAUUAAAGAAUUUCGGUCAUCGAUGGAGAUGCGUUCCAUUAGGUUGUUGGCGGGGUAACGGCCCACCAAGACUACGAUGGAUAGGGGUUCUGAGAGGAAGGUCCCCCACAUUGGAACUGAGACACGGUCCAAACUCCUACGGGAGGCAGCAUG
rnacentral:rRNA from 1 species